CAUGGGAACGGCAGGGCCCCAUCCCUGCACAGUGACCCCCAGUCUGAGCCAUAUAAGCCAGCCAUAGCCACCACUGGGGUGAGCUUGUUUUCAUACUUGGGAAUAGAUUGAAGGGAGGAUGUUAUCUGAGAGAUAAGGUAGGAAUUUGCUAAAUAAGUGGCCUAUAAAAGGAGCUGAACUCUGCUUAAUGAGCAGAGUGGGAGGGGCUGGUCUGGGAGGCAGGAUACAACUUCCAGAGAAGGACCUUCUGUGAGGUGGUGUGAUGGAUCCUGAGCGGCUCAUCCCAUGCCCCUAUGAUAAAAACCACCAGAUCUGAGCCUCCAGGUUCCCCUACCACUUGGUCAAAUGCGGAGAGAAUAACAAGAAAAGAGCCAAAGAGCUGGCCACGUGCCCCUACAAUGCUCGCCACAGAGUCCCAAAGCGAGAGCUCCAGCUGCACAUCUCCACCUGCACAGACAACAGGGCGCCAGAGCUGUUCAGUGCUAAUGACUGAUCCCAUGCUCAGGGAGAAGAAGUUGCUUAAGAUUGUCUUACGCAUCUUGGAAGAAAGGUCACAGGAUAGGAACAGCAUUGUCCGUCAGAUGGCUGUAAGAGGCCUGGGAAAUAUAGUCAAUGGGGCGCCUGUGAAGGU